UCUAAUAAUAUUUUUACCAAUGUUGUACGACUAUUUUUAUUACGAAGAAUAUGAUAAUUAUGAAAAUUUAAGUUAUUUGGAACUGGUAGUGGAAUAUAUUUUAUCUUCAUUUCAAGAAGCAUUUGGUGGUAUUUUUAAUGGUGUGAAACAAAUUUUUUUCUAUCCACAUGCAUGUAAGAAAUGUACCAAUAAUGCAUAAAAUUAACGAUGAUCCUCGCACUGUGUGCAAGUUUAAAAAUAUUUUAUUAUGGUUUGUUCUUUAUCUAUUGAUUAGUAUUUAUUUUUGUACUAAACAAGUAUUUUUGUAAUUAAUUCUAUGUGUAAAUGUUUCUUUUUUUACAUAUUUAUAAUUAAAAUUUCACUUGAAGAUUAUAUUUAUAUUUUAGUUUAUAGAUUAUAUUGUCCGUUUAUAUUAUAUCUUUAAUAUUUACAAUAUAUCUUUUUUAAUUUUCUAAUUGUUAGUUCUAUUUAUGCCAAAUAUAUUCAAAUUAAAACAAUCGGACAUUUUCGACUAUAUUCGUAAAACAUCGUUGCCGAUAGUACUCAUCAUUAGACGAAAGGGGGAAACACGUUUCACGUAAACUAUAAAUGCACUGUGCGCACGUUGAUUUCGGUCAUUUUGCCUGGAGAUCUCCGGUUUAACACAAAGCCCGCGAUUUUUAACAUCUGUGUUGAAAAAGCGUGUGUAUAACUUCGUUAUACGGUAGUUAUAUAUUAAUUAAAAUAUAACUAAUUUUUUACGGAGGCAUAAAAUACAAACAAUCGUCGAUUGAAAAAAAACGAUGGCAGACUAUGUGAUCGGUGACACAAAACCGGCAGAUGUACCCUUACCGGACGAUGGACUUUCAGCAGGACAAUUAUUCACUACUGGUGAUGGUCUUACCUACAAUGAUUUUAUUAUUUUACCGGGUUAUAUUGAUUUUACUGCCGACGAAGUUGAUUUAUUGUCACCGUUGACAAAGAAAAUUAUGAUCAAAGCACCGCUGGUAUCUUCUCCUAUGGAUACAGUUACAGAAUCCGACAUGGCUAUAGCUAUGGCUCUAUGUGGAGGAAUUGGCAUAAUACAUCACAAUUGUACACCCGAAUAUCAAGCCAACGAAGUACAUAAGGUA